rnacentral:rRNA from 1 species
UUUCCGUAGUAAUGCGUGAAUAAUAAUGAUUCUUCCGCAGUGACACUUAUCGAAGCCGUUGUGGCCCUUCCAAGGGUAACCUCACGACUAUAAAUAAAAGAUGGUUUACACAAGUAAUCUUUUAGAUUGCAACAUAAUCGAAAUGCGGGGAUAUCCUAAAACCAUUCGAGUACUAACUCAUUUUAGAAAUAUUUUGAGGGCUUGUGUUAACAGCAUAAGGUAAAGUAACAAUCUCGAUGGAUGUAACAAUGGACAAUCCGCAGCGAAACCUCUAAGGGCUCCUAAGUCUAUGAGGUGCGUCCACAGACUAAGUGGUUAUGGGCAUUUUGUUUUGAAAUGCUUAAGAUAUAGUCGGGCCUUGAUGGAAACAUCACGGAGUAAGUCACUGCAUGAUUUACAAGCAAAACAUCAGAUGAGAAAACAACGAUUACUUUUCAUUAAAACCAUUUAAACCAUUAAAACCAUCGAUGCAUAUCCAUGUGUCCUCUCUCCCGUAUCUGCCUAUGCUCCAAAGCUACCUCCUCCGAAUGAAGAGUUUGGAUCAACUGUCGUUUCUCCAUCAUCAUCUUCUCCCUCACUCAAACGUCGAAUAGCCUCCGCCUCCGAUUCCGUCGCAGCGUCGUACACUUCCUGUGGAUUGUCGACAACGUGAUCCUCGAUCCAAGCUCCGUAAUGUGCGUUACAUGGCAGAGGUGCGUGGAGUGUGAGACAAGGAUUGUUCAAGGCUACCAAGCGGCCAACGAAACCGUCAAUCUUAUCCUGCGUUUCGGGAGCUGGGUAGGGGCCGGUGCCAAGAACAAAUGUUUCGAGGAGCUCAUGUUCGAACCACAUGUGACACAUCAUUCUUGAGCGAUUGAGAAUGUUUGUUUCCUCAACCAUGUGGUUAGGAUUGAUGUUCCUGGAAUAAUAUGUUAGCAUUAUGAAGAUGAUGAGAGAAUGACACGAGAAAAACACUUACGAGCUUGUUCUCAAUCCGCAAUACAAAGUAUGGGAAAUUUCGAGGUUAUCGUCCAUGUGACUGCCCUUCAAGUGGCGGAAAGUGACGCGGUGAAUCAGAAAUUUCUUGUUCUUGUAAUUAACUGGAAAGUAAGAUGUUAGCAAAAUGGCCUGUUAUGCAAAGGAAAGAAUACUUACCCUGGCUGUAACCCUGCUUGGUCUUCGCAUAUGGCGAAAACAAUGGAAAUGUUGGCCAUUCUCUUCUCAAGAUAGCCCGUCUCAAAGCAUCUCUUUCUCGAGGGGCGACAUGCGAGUUGACGGUCCAGAAGUUUGCUGAAUCCAGAAUUUGCUUAACCAUAGCGGUAAAGUCAGAGUUCUGGUAGUUGUUGAGCAACUGGGUCGCAGAGAGGAUAGGCAUGAUGGAAAAUGGUUUGAGAAAGUAAAUCGUAUGGAUCGAGGAAGUGUACAAAAGGUUGGCUGGAGGGGGAGAAGUGGAUAGAAAGGUUGAAGUUUUGAGUUGUAAAAGGUUAGGAUUUCCAGGUACCGAGACUAUGAUUUUAUAGAUCGAAGCCAAAACAAAUCACUACGCUAGUGCGCGCAGAUCACCACGCUAGUGGAGAUCCCCCGCGCCGUUAAACUAGUACAUGAUGCCCCACUUCGGAAAAUUCUGUCAAUCACGUCAGUUUUUCACGCUAGUGUACACGCGUCAACCUCAACAACAAAGAACAAUAUUUACCUAUUCACUUUUAAUCCUUUAACGCACAUUCUUUUUUUUCACUUUUGAAAUUCUCCAAAAUAUUUCUUGAUAUGCUUAAAGAAACCGUUCCGUAGGUGAACCUGCGGAAGGAUCAUUACAGAGUUCAUGCCCGAAAGGGUAGACCUCCCACCCUUGUGUAUUAUUACUUUGUUGCUUUGGCGAGCUGCCUUCGGGCCUUGUAUGCUCGCCAGAGAAAACCAAAACUCUUUUUAUUAAUGUCGUCUGAGUACUAUAUAAUAGUUAAAACUUUCAACAACGGAUCUCUUGGUUCUGGCAUCGAUGAAGAACGCAGCGAAAUGCGAUAAGUAAUGUGAAUUGCAGAAUUCAGUGAAUCAUCGAAUCUUUGAACGCACAUUGCGCCCCUUGGUAUUCCGGGGGGCAUGCCUGUUCGAGCGUCAUUUCAACCCUCAAGCUUAGCUUGGUAUUGAGUCUAUGUCAGUAAUGGCAGGCUCUAAAAUCAGUGGCGGCGCCGCUGGGUCCUGAACGUAGUAAUAUCUCUCGUUACAGGUUCUCGGUGUGCUUCUGCCAAAACCCAAAUUUUUCUAUGGUUGACCUCGGAUCAGGUAGGGAU